UCAUAUUUAAUGUCAGUUGCCGUCAUUUGGGUUCCAUUCAAUCGAUGAUGGCGUAAUUGCAAAAUUUGCCUGAUGGGGCCCAUCCUGCGUAUGCGCAAUAUUCGCAGCGACUGAUGCUAUCCCCUUGAGCCGUCCUGAGUGCGCCAAAAAUGAACUGCCAACGCGUUCUGCACUCAUUAAUCAAAUGUUAAGGAAGCGCAGGCACCAAAAAAAGCCAAUGCGAACCCUUUUGGCAAGAUUUUUUGUGGGCCCAAAAGUAUGCAAAGUUCUCUGGUAUGUGCUGGGCAGGGGUACGAGUGUCAAGGAGCUAAGUGAAAAAGCGGUCGAGCUAAAGGGGGUUCGAGCUGGGGAGACACGGAACGAGAGUUGAGCCUGAGAGGAGCCUGAGGAGGCGCUUCAGCAUUGUAUUUUAUGCUAUUUGCAUUUUCCCAUUUUUUUUGGCAAGGCUAGUAGCCAGUACAUAAAAAAAUAAGGGGUCCUGUGCUCACACAAACACACAUACAUAGACAUAUAAAUAAUAACGCUGUAUGGGUUUGUGUGCAAAGUUGGCGUAAAAAAUGGGCGGGCCGCCCUCCGCAACGCAAAAAAAAGCUGCAAAAAAAUGCAUUUUAUAUGCAGAUGCAUGGCGUAAAUUGCAGUUACGUACUAAAUAAGUAAAAUUGCGCUGAGUAUUUUUCACUUAAAAUCUUACAGCCCUUCCUCCUCGCCGCCGAAACAACAAGCAAAAAAGAAAACGUACAAGCAGGCGUGGCAGAGGGCAAACCUCUUAAUUGGGUGCAUGCAGGCAAAAUAACAUGCGAGCCGCGCGCAAAUUGUGGAUCUGAGAUCGGAAUGGAAAUGGAAUGCGCUUGGCUGCUUGAUAAGAGGGAUCAGGGGGCACUCUGAAGUGGCGACCAAGAUAGCUAGCCGUCAGCUAAUUAAACCUGAAAAGCUGGCCACAUACACAUGCAUGCGCUCACCCACUCAUACUAGACGCUGAGUGGUAUUUACGUAACAUUGGCAAUUGGACUAAGACGAGAGCCUAGCGAGGACGAUAGUUAGAAGCUAAGAGCUACCGUAGUGCCUCAGCGGAUAAUUGGUUUAAUCCCUGAGAUUGCCCCAGUACUAACGUACUUGUCAUAAGAGUUAGCAUAUGUUCAAUGGAAAAUCCGUUUGCUUAUUUAUCAAAGCUUUGCUUGUGCUUAAGUGUUUCGUCCUCCAACAAAGGCAAAGAGUCGGAGGCGGCAACACUCAAAUUUAAUGCAAUCAGAGCAGAAACUCUGUUAAGGCGCUAAGCGCUCACAACAAUUUCAACAACAGCACCAAUGGGAGGACUUUGUUAGCUCGUUUUUAAGCCUUUUUCCCCAAAAGAUGUCCUGAGCAUAAAUGGCAAGUUCCUGUUGCUAACAAAAGAAUUGCGGCAAAUUUUUGAAAAUUUACUGAAUGACCCUAAUGAGCAUUUUUUUUUUUUGCCUGGUGUGACGAGGGGAUUGCGUUUGAAUUCAAAUUAUGUCAAAGCAGAAGAAAAAGUUAAGCCAAAGGUGAGUCGACUGAUUGACAGAAAAGUCUAUAAACACGAAGCAUACGUAUAUAAGGCCGGCCAGUGUACCUGGCUCAUUGCAGAGCCUGAUUUGCAUUUUCUGAAAUUUUGGACCACAUAGCACUGCGUUUAAAUGAGACUUUGUCGUGGGCUUUAUCUAUUUAUUUCCUUAGUUUUUUGAAUUUUAUAUGAGCGAAAAUGGGCAACAUGAAGCUGGAGGCCGGGACAGCCGGCCAAUAGGCGGUCAGCAGCUAAAGAUGCCCACGUCUCCUGCUCUGCUCAUUUUGUCAAGUUAAUGGAGAAUAAUAAAGCGCAAAAGUAAAUAAGUAAACAGAGACAAAGGCAGAGACGCUGCUGGGUGGCUGCUGCGACAAAACUACAACAAUAAAAGGCGCUGGAAAAGCUGAGACGGCAAACGGCCGGAAAAUAAAAGAAACAGGAUCCAGCCCAAGGCUUAGCAAACGAGCACCCAAGAGCUACCCAGCAGGCGGCAGACAGCUGGCGGCAG